rnacentral:rRNA from 1 species
UCCAGACUCCUACGGGGGGCAGCAGUGGGGGAUAUUGCACAAUGGGGGGAACCCUGAUGCAGCGACGCUGCGUGGGUGAAGAAGCGCCUCGGCGCGUAAAGCCCUGUCAGCAGGGAAGAAAAUGACGGUACCUGAAGAAGAAGCCCCGGCUAACUACGUGCCAGCAGCCGCGGUAAUACGUAGGGGGCAAGCGUUAUCCGGAUUUACUGGGUGUAAAGGGAGCGUAGACGGCAAUGCAAGUCUGGAGUGAAAGGCGGGGGCCCAACCCCCGGACUGCUCUGGAAACUGUAUAGCUGGAGUGCAGGAGAGGUAAGUGGAAUUCCUAGUGUAGCGGUGAAAUGCGUAGAUAUUAGGAGGAACACCAGUGGCGAAGGCGGCUUACUGGACUGUAACUGACGUUGAGGCUCGAAAGCGUGGGGAGCAAACAGGAUUAGAUACCCCGGUA